AUUGAACGCUGGCGGCAGGCCUAACACAUGCAAGUCGAGCGGAUCGGGGGACGGGUGAGUAAUGACUAGGAAUCUGCAUGGUAGUGGGGGAUAAGGUCCGGAAACGGGCGCUAAUACCGCAUACUAGCAGAUGAGCCUAGGUCGGAUUGGCUAGUUGGUGGGGUAAAGGCCUACCCAGGCGACGAUCCGUAACUGGGCUGAGAGGAUGAUCAGGCAAACUGGAACUGAGACACGGUCCAGACUCCUACGGGAGGCAGCAGUGGGGAAUAUUGGACAAUGGGCGGAAGCCUGAUCCAGCCAUGCCGCGUGUGUGAAGAAGGUCUUCGGAUUGUAAAGCACUUUAAGUUGGGAGGCGUUACCAACAGAAUAAGCACCGGCUAACUCCGUGCCAGCAGCCGCGGUAAUUC
rnacentral:rRNA from 1 species